UCCUGGAGCGGAGGCACAGCAACACCUAAGCCCCCGGGACCAGCCUGGCCAGGACACCACCGCCUGCGCGCCCCAGCCCCUCCUGUUCCCCUGGCCCAGUUCCCUCAAGUCAAGGCCUUCCCCGCGUGCUCAGCCCUUGGUCCGUGGUGGGGCUGACCAAAGACCCCCUUCCCACACCUGAACGCACGGAGCAGAGCCAGCAGAGCCAGCAGGAGUCCGGCUGUGCUGAGGAAUGUGAAGUAAAUUCACCCAUUUUUAUUUUUCCCAG